rnacentral:rRNA from 1 species
UGCCAGCCGCCGCGGUAAUACGUAGGGAGCAAGCGUUGUCCGGAAUUACUGGGCGUAAAGGGUGCGUAGGCGGCAUAUUAAGUCAGGUGUGAAAUCCUCGGGCUCAACCCGAGAUCUGCAUUUGAAACUGAUAAGCUUGAGUAUGAGAGAGGAAAGUGGAAUUCCUAGUGUAGCGGUGAAAUGCGUAGAUAUUAGGAGGAACACCAGUGGCGAAGGCGACUUUCUGGCUCAUCACUGACGCUGAGGCACGAAAGCGUGGGUAGCAAACAGGAUUAGAUA